UACGUAGGUGGCAAGCGUUGUCCGGAUUUACUGGGCGUAAAGAGCGCGUAGGCGGCCUUCUAAGUCUAUGGUGAAAUCUCCCGGCUUAACUGGGAGGAGUCUGUAGAUACUGGAAGGCUUGAGUACCGCAGAGGAAGAUGGAAUUCCCGGUGGAGUGGUGAAAUGCGUAGAUACCGGGAGGAACACCAGAGGCGAAGGCGGUCUUCUAGGCGGUUACUGACGCUGAGGCGCGAAAGCGUGGGGAGCGAACCGG
rnacentral:rRNA from 1 species